UACACAGCAUUUUUACUGCAGGAAUCCUUCCAAACAUUGCACAGAUGGAAUUUCACAUCUGACAAAAGAAACAGAUAACAUUCAUCGAGCAAAAAACCCUCAAUACCGCCUGAGUUUGCCUUUGCUUGCUCAUGCAAUUGUGCCGUUUCUCUGUUUUUAGUGUCAAAAGCACUCUCCAGAGACUGGUUCUGAGAAAUGUUUUUUUUGGAUUUUUUUAAGGCAGCAUAGAUGACAGACAAUGUGCUUUACCAACAUCUAUGGAAACACUCGCCACCCUUUCAAAAUGCUGAAACAUUUUCGUACUGUAAAGAUGCCAGGGAGCUUCGUACAAGCCUCUCUUCUGGGGGCCGUCAGGCAACCAACUCAUUAAGCCCCAGCAAUAGAGAAGCAGUGCCUUCAGCUCAGCAGAGCCUGCAUGCUCCUGCCCGCUGGUACAGAGGAGCCCGCAGCGGCAGAGGGAUCACCGUCAUGUCUAAACCCCAAGAUGGAUGAAGAGGAGCAACCUGCUCUGGGGAACUGGGGCAAAUUUGGAUUCUUCAAGGUCUUGUUCCUGAGGACACAACUUUGGCAGUUGCAAUGGGUCUCCAAGGCACCGUAGGCAACGGAGGUGUGCGCGGUGGGACGGGACUAUCCCUCUCUUCUCCUCUAGCCCAAUCAUACCAUGUUCCUGGAGUGAGUGACUGAGACUCAUUUGAAGAACUGCGCCUGUUGCUGAAGAGCUGCUAUUCAGAGGUGUGCUUGUUCGUGGGCAUGCAUCUGUGCGCACAUGCAUGGCUGUGUGAGUCUCUAUAGAGCUUUAAGGUAUGGAAUGCAUUAUGAACAUCCCCCCCCUUCCCAAAAACACUCACUCGCCCCUGAAACGUGUUGUGACUACCAUGAAUUAAAUAUUGCUACUGUGCUAUAGCAUCAUAUUGCAAUAUGCAGAACUGGCCAUUACUGGCUUUUCCUGCAUUGCUGAAUAUUAUUUGUAGGCAUUUCCAUGGAGUCCUCCAUGAGGAUAUCCAAACCUCCUACAAGAUUAAGACAUCCCACCACUACCUGAGAGGAGCCACACACUCUUGUCACACCUUUGGAGUCCAAUUUCUCCCCGUUCUGCCACUGCUGCUCUCCAGGUGCAUCUGCUCUGUGUUUCUUUUGACAUGGUUGCUUGAGAGCCUUCCAGAUUCAGCAACUGGCUCUGCUUCAUAUUUUAAAAGUGAGGAGGUUUAAGCUCAGCCAAGUCCUCCCAAGACACAGAAUCUAUCACUGUGGAUCACUUUAUGGAAGCAUCCUGCCCUUGGCAUCCCAGCCCAGCCACCGCCAGCCAGCGCAUCCCCUCAAGGAGCUGCUGCAGACAGCCCAGGCAUGUGUAUGGGCAGAGUCCAGCAAAAGCUGCAUGCUCCAAAAUGAUCCAGGAGUUGAUUCUGGGUGAAUCAAAUUGUAAUUCACGAAGUAAUUCCUUGGACAAACUUGCUUGAAAACAGACUCAUGCCACAGAAUACUGAAUUUGCUGGAAAGUCACAAAGCACUCAGGUGUUUACUAAAUCAAUUUUUUGGCCUAAAAAAAUGAGACUAGCAAGACAGUUUAUCACCAGGUUGCUGGCUGUUGUUGUUCUUGUUCGUUCUCAGCAGGACUCAUUUACGUAGACAAUUUCAACUACGACUGAAAAACAGAGACGGUAAAAAAAACAGAGAAGGCAGUUCCUAAUGUUCACGGGGACGGACAAGGUGAACGUAUCAGAGCUGCUAAUCAUCCAUUUUGACUGCUCAGUCUGGGAAGGCUGAAAAAAGUGUAUAUAGGAACCAGUCUGUGUUUAGGAAUAACAUUUCCUUUCUGAUGACACACAGAAAUGACAUUUAGAUGCUGCUUCAACAGAUGCAUUAUUUUAUUACAAGCAAAUACAGGAGCUUUGUUUUCCCUGUUACUGUAUGACUUACAUCAUCUGAAACCUUUCUACCAAGAGGUCUCACUUCAAAUGACAGUGAAAAUUGUUCUGAGAACUAGAUGUGUUAGGUCUGCUUCAGAUGUCCAGAGGACUUCAUCCAUUCACCAUUCCUAGGUGCUUGGCUGGAGAGGGAUUUCAUUCUCCUCAAAAAAUUAUUAGCUGAAAGUGGGGUAAGUUUAGAGUCACACUAUUUGACUGACAGAGAAGCAUAUAUGAAGUUUGUCUGAUGUAGCUCUAAUACAGAUAUCAGCCCUGAAAUGCACAUUCUCAGGCUUCUCUGCCUGCACCUUGGAUCUUUCAGUCAGCUCAGUUCUUUCUGGGCUGGUGACACCUAUUUUGAGAACCGACACCCUAAAUAUCAGAGCAAGGAAAACAGAGGGGUUUCUCUCUAUUUCUCCAUUCAGCAACCACACUGCUUUGCAAGCAGACAUGCAGACCAGCUGAGGUGGUGGAUUCCCCUCAGUGCCAAGCAAGCCAGCAAACUUUCUUGCUUCCAAACCCCUACAAUGGCCAGCUCUACAGCUUCAGAGGAAAGAGCUGGGGCUGAGCUCAAUACAAGCAUGCUUUGGUGGAGUGAUGGUCACCCCAGCACGGACGACCCUGCACACCAUUUCAGCUCCUUUUAUUUGGGAGAAGAGAUUUGCUUUUGAUACAUUUCUGUGACUUCUUCUGUUCUUUGUUAACAUGCUUUCUUCCUUUAUGUAACUUGAAAGCUGCAGCUAGAGGAAAAGGGAGAGGAAGCUUAAUAAAGACUUCUAACAGGGAAGGCUAAAUGGAAUCUGUUGUUACAUGAUUGGUAUAAAACCAAACCUGUAGAUUCUGCCACAGAAUGGUGCAAUGUUCUGCUGUUUCCUACCAGAUGAUCAGAGUGAUUUAAGAAUAGAUUUGGAACCUGCUGUACUUGAAUGUCUCACGUGGCCUGUGGCAAAAUUGGGUGACUUAGACUCAAAUACAAUACUCUGUCCUCUGCAGCAGAAAUAACAUGACUGUGUUUGGCAGAAGAUUCAGAAGAAACCCACUCCUUCCUGAAGUGUUGCCUGCAUUGUAGUCACUGGGCUACAAUGGGCUGCCUAUACCAACUGCCCUUCGUAUUACAAAAUAGAGAAGGUGAGAUCUCAGAAGUUAUUGACUCCCUGCACCAACUGGGCAGUGAAAUCCAACUCUUUCAGCUUCAUCCCAAUUUGUGCUGCAACUUGUGUGUGUGUGUACAUAUAUAUAUGUAUAUAUAGACACUUCUGUAUCCCUCUUGAUUUAAUAUACGAACUGAGGCUGCUGUUUCACGUUCUGGCCUCAAUGCAAGAAGCUGCUGCUGGUUUCUGAAUAACCCAAGAAAAAUUGAGGUACCAGAUAAACUCAAAAAAAACCUUCAGUGCCCAAGACAGCAAGGACUGAAAUACAAUUGUUGGAUUCUCCAAACACUUGCUCUUGAGCUACACAAGCGAAGGGAGAAUCGGUUCCCAGGUGUAAAGGCUGGAAGGGAUUAUGCCUUCCCUGCAGCCUGUGAGUACAACUGCAAAAGCACCCACAGUUGAGAAAGGUUAAUCAACUUAAUCUCACACCCUGCUCUGCUACAGUUCAUCUAUCUAAUACCACCUCGCCAAGGUUUUGCCUUCUGUGAAUCUUUAUGUGAAACAAACAGAAAAAAUGGACUCUGUCAUAGACAGCAGGCCACAAAAAGCCAGUUUUCUAACAAACACAAAAUCCACAUCCUGUGAUACUGGGAGAAAACUUACACGCUCAGGGCCAGGUUUAUGCAAGAAAGUAACCUCUGGGGUGAGGAAAAAUGAGAAACACAUUUACAUUUUUUGGUUGUAUUUUUUAAAACACACUGUAAGUGGGAACAGAGCAGGAGAAUCGAUUAGUAUGAUGGUAAAUAAUUGCAAAUAUCAGAGUAAUUCAGGUUCUUAGACAUUUGUUUUUGAAGCAUUGCCUCCAGCGCCUAGCCCAGAUUCAAGUAACUGUAAUAACCUGAAGAUGAUGGAAGUAAUUCGAAGUGGGCUUCACGCAGGCACCUUGCCCGGGAAGAGCAUGCAAAAUUUCAGCCCCACUCAGGUUUAUACUAGCUGCUCAUCUAACCCUGCACCCAACCUGCCACCACAUGAGCAAAGGAGCACGCUGAUGCCCAAAAGCAAACAACCAACUGAACGCUACUGGGUGCAAGUCCCACAAGAGCUCCACUGGGACCUGCAGAAGCGCUGGGUUGCUGCAGUGCUGAGACAGGAUGUCACCCCAACCCUCACACGCAUUUCUUAGAAACUACAGAUGUGAGCACAAAAAUGAACCUCAAAUGAACCUGCUGGCAGCUGAAAAAGUGGAAGGUUGUUCAGGACAAAGCAUCUGAUUUCUGACAGAUUAGGUACACCUAAAUAAUAGGUGGGAAGUGACCCCACAGCUGAUGAGCUCCACGUCCACCCAUGGCAGCCCUCUCUCCAUGGGUAUAUCCCUUAUAGGCUCUCCCAUGGCCAAGCCCAGUGCCCACCAGAGGCAGAUAGGGAGAGCGGUCUCUUGUUCCCACCUGCAAACCGCACACAGCACCUUCAGGGCAAGGUGGCUCUUCCCCUCCCUUUUCUUUUUGAUCACACCACCAGGUUUUCACCUCUCUCUGUAGUUUUCCAGUCAACUCAGUCUUCUGUGCUUUGCCUUCUUUCCAUUUUUACCAUUAUCUCAUCCCACAUUCACAUUUCUGUAGCAACCCAGAGUUACACCCUGCAUUUUAAUUAUGCGUCAUCACUUUAUGUCCUUCACUUUCUUUUCAUUUCCAAAACUGAACCAUCUCUGUCUUUGAAUUUCCCUUUUUUAAUCUAUAGCUAAUUUUUCACAUACAAAGGCCCUUGCUAUUUUUUAGAUGAAUACAGCCUUCUGCUGACUUCAGUUAAUGGGCACUUUACUUCCCUUUGCCAUUUUAGCUUUUUUAAACCUCAGUGACAUGCAGACAUACCUCUCAGAGAGGGGGAAGAUAAAACAAAACAAGACAGACCCAUUUGUAUUUAUUCACAUCUGUACAGUUAUUUAACAGCCAUGAGCAAGGAUAUUCUAUGGGUGUGUAUACAUACCUUUACUAUAUGGUACAGAAUACCUAUAUCAACUUGCAGCCAGAAAGACAGUCUCUUAAGACGUGAAGCUGUGGCAUAAAACAUUCAUGAAAAGAGCUCAUCUUCCAUUUUUGAAUGGCUGGAAAAGACAGGAGCGAAGCUUGUAAUCAACCACCAGGAAAGAAAUGAUUUUGCAAUUCCAUCUAAGCGAGACACAUCACCUGUCUCAUCAGCCUUAUAAUAGCUUUCCAAUGUUUAUACUUACACGGCAGUACACAUGAAGUCAGCUUAGUGUCCUCCUUUGCCUGAAACAACCAACUGGAUCAAAGGGACUGUUGUGGAAAUGUGGCUAAAUAUUUGUCAGCUGCUUUUAUAAGAGGAGGAGGGAGGAAAACCCCUACCCCCAGUAUCGUCACAAGGUGAAGAAAACAUCCUUAAAAUCCUCUAGGUAAGUACAGCAUCAAAAGAGACUGUCAGCACAUUUUUGACAGCUAAUUUCCUGAUGCAGGAGAUGAGCAGGUCAAAUAAGCCUAAAGAAAGUUUGGCUCUUGUAUUCACGGUUUACAGAGCUGAUGCAGAAAUUUUACUGCAGGAGAAGGGUAACUGCUAUACUUCAAAAGAGAAAUCCAGAGGAAAAAGUAAAAAUAAACCCCAAGCACCAGCUGAUGAUAACUAAUUCUCUCCUUCUUCUAAACUGGAAACUAACCAAAAGAAGGGAGAUAAAGAAGGGAACAACCAACACUUUAUAGCAAUUAAAGUUUAUUAAACUCCUGAGGCAGUGAGACACAUAACACGGUGUUAAGGUCAGUGGACAUGAGGCUGCAGCACACCAGCAGUUAAGUCGUCUCCAGCUCUAAGGAUGACAGUCAGAUUUUUAACUCGGAAUGGCAGAAAAUGUAGUUCAAGGUUACCAAAGCCCCAGAGCACACAGAUGCAAACCUCCUGGGGAACUGUCUGCAGUCCCUCCACAGGCACAGCAGGCUGUGAGAGGAGGGCAGGAGGAAGAGUCCGUACCAUCACAUGGCUGAUUUAGCAGAGAGCAAAACAGAACCAAAACAGACUUGCUGCAAGGUGAAAGUGAUGUAGGUCAGCAAUCAGAACAUCGAUUCAGAUAAACUCUGAGGUUGGGGCAAAUAAGGAAAUAAUCUAACGUAACCUCCUAUAUAAUAUGAAGGCCAUAAAAUUUCAUUCGGACCAAGCACACCACCAUUACCAAUUCUGAGCCUCAUCAUUUGAUGGGAUUGUAAACAAUCUUCCUCAAAUUAAUUCCAUAUGAGGACCAGUAGCUUCCAACAGCUCUAAGCAUCCUCUGAUUUUAUUUAUACCAUCUUGCACCUACCCAACUUUGAGCAGCACUUCUCAUACGAACAUCCUCAUACAUCAGUCACCAGAGGAACUAGCAGCAACUGAGCAGAUACCCAAGCACAAACAUGAUGAGGUCAGCCAGAGUCUGAGGCAGUGUGACACUGGCACAAAUGAAGGUGGAGGAUUCCCAUUGUUAUUCUAAGGAUACUAUGCCAGAAACACACAUAAUAACCUCCCAAAGUGGACGACAGAAUCCCAUUUGGAAUUUUCUAACUGGAAAAACAUACAGGAGUAGGUCUAUCUUAGUGCAUGGAGUAGGUUAGCAGUUUCACUUACAGGCAAAAGAAGUCUCAAACUUUCCCUGCUACCUAUUCAUCUUUUUCCCACUCUAUAAACCCUUCCUAGAUGAUCUUAAGGUCUUUUCCAACCCCAACCAUUCUAUGAUUCUAUGAUUCCUACAUACAACAAACCUCCACUGCAGCAUGUCCAGCAACAGCCAGGGUGCUCAGUACCCUGCUGGAGGCUUCUGCUCCGAAUCAGGCAGAACAGAAACUUAGAUCCAAGCUUCCCUUCUUUUAGAAGAUGCCCUGGCUAUUAUUUACCUGUUCGUGGGAGGCACUUUGGGCACAUUUUGAUCAGAAAUCCUGUCCAAAACCCUCAGACAUCUUUUUGUCACCAGAAAUUGUUUUCCUUUCCAAACAGUUCUUCCCUGGCUCAUCUGUUGUUUGGACAUUGUAUCUCUGCUAGAUACAGUGCUAGAGGCACACAAAUCCCAUCAAACAUCAUAACAGAAUCAAGACAAUAAAUGUUCAAGAUGAUGAGAGCUAGAGAGAAGUGAUGAAGCUUUUCAAUUUCAAUUCCAUAUAAAUUGAAGAGCAAGCAAAGCAGACAACAACAAGAAAAAAUCACCUUAAAACUGUGCUGUAGGAAGCUGGACUUAGUCCCUGACUCAGGUGAGUGUUCUACUUCCCUACAACACCAAAAUAAGCAAGCAGACUAUACCCAUCUGAUGCAGCUGAUUGGAAAUACUAAUGUUGUACAACCCACAAUCCCACAAAAUGAAAACAAGAUUACAUAUUGAGGUUGACAAGGGCAUUGUUUUCAAAACAAAAGGUUCUAAUUUGUUCUCCUACUGAACCAUUUUCAUUACCCUCACAAGAGAUGGGAGCGCUGUCCCAGCAGGGAUAUCCAUCCUUCCAACCAGUAAAUGAAGCAUUUCUUCACGGAGAUGUAAAAGAUGAAGUAAUCAGCAUUUCCCAUUUUAAAGUAGAAUCUGUUUUUAUUCAACACAGGACUGUAAACGGAUAAAAUUCACAAUAACCAGCAUUAAAAAAAACCUACCACCAAACCCUACAGCCAUACUUAAAUUUUGCUCUACAUACUGGUCACUCACAUUUCUACAUACAAAAUUUUGUCAAGUCUUGCUCACUACCAGGUUAAUAGAUAUUGACACCCAAUACUAACAAAGCACACAGUUUAUUCACAACUUCUAGGGGACUUCUAGGGUUGUUAA